CAUGUAGGCGGCAUGACAAGUCUGGUGUGAAAUAUCUCGGCUCAACCGAGAAAACGCACUGGAAACUGUCAAGCUUGAGUAUCGGAGGGGAGGCUAGAAUUCCUGGUGUAGGGGUGAAAUCUGUAGAUAUCAGGAAGAAUACCGGUGGCGAAGGCGAGCUUCUGGCCAGAUACUGACGCUGAGAUGCGAAAGCGUGGGGAGCGAACAGGAUUAGAUACCCUGGUAGUCC
rnacentral:rRNA from 1 species